CGAGGGGUUUGAUUCAUUCAGAUUUUUAAUUCCUCCUUUCUUUCUAACAUUCUCUCCCUAUUGUCCAAUUAGUCUCUUCUUUUUCUUGUUAAGAUAAAUCCAAAAAUAGUAAGGACAAGUCUGAUUUUAGGACAAGAGUGUAGGAAGAAAAUUAAGGAAGACAAGGAGAGAAAAAAAGUAGGAAUAGGAAGGUUAGGAGGAGAGGAAGAAGAUCUUGAGGUCCUGAUGCCCAAAAAAAUUUUCAGAGUGAGAAUUUUAGAGGAGAAAUUAUCUCAAAAAGUUGGUGUCCUAAUUAUAGCCUUGUGUGGAUCACCGUUAGAGGACGAACACUUGGACAUAUGGUGGAGAUUCUGUCGGAAUGUGGAUUAAGCACUGCAGGUAUUCUUCUAUAGCUUGAAUUUAAUUUUUGAAUAUAUGUUAUAUAUGAUUGUUAAUCAUGAAGGAG
rnacentral:lncRNA from 1 species